rnacentral:lncRNA from 1 species
ACUAAUCGCAUUGACUGGUCGCAACAAUGAGCAACUAGAAUUUUCAAUCGUAAUUUGUGGAGAAAGAUCCCAUAUUGAAAGAUGUGAUGGGACUUAAGUAAUAUAUAAAGGAUUAGGGUCAAUCCACUUAUUGUCAAUUGGUUUUGAGUUGGAAGCCAAUAACAAAUCCUAAUUUAACAUAAUUCAAUGUAAAUUCUGGUUUUUGACAUAUCCGGCUUAUAUGAUAAAAAAAAAAAAAAAACUGCAUCUCCUUCCUUUGUGAAGGCACGAGAUCGCACUGAAUAUCCCUAGAAUACUCUUUCUUUCGUUUCCUCUUUAAGUGCGUGGCCUCUUUCACUCUCAAACAAAACGAUUUUUUUUUUAUACCCUCACAAAAUUUCAUCAUAAAUCGAUUUGGGCAUAAAGCAAAAUUUUGUUUGAUUCUUGACAUCCCAAAGAUUCGAUCUCAUUCCAAAAGGAUAAGGCUCAAUGGAACCAAAACAAUGUACUCGAUUUCUCCAUGGAAUCUGGCCCAACUGUGACCCGGAGAGUCGUUUUAUUACUACAAAUUAAUUACAACGUGAUCAUGGUCCGUACAUGUCUUACGUCAAAACACACUGCAUCCAAUUCCAAAACUGUGUCAUACCAUCCUAGCUAGUAUCCCAAUUUUAUGAAUAUUAUUGCAUUUUUAUACUAAUAUUUCAUUUUUCCUAUUACUUUUACAAUUUCCAGAGGCGUUAAGCUCUCUUUUGUAUGCAACACAAAAAAAAAGUGUAACAUCAUAUCAACGAGUGUACUUAGUUUUGGAGUAACUUUGUUGGAGUAGCGUAGUGAUGGUUUGGACAAAAAAAAAAUAUUUGACAAUAAUUAGAACUAUAGAGAUUUUAUCAAAUUUUCUUGAGCACAAUCUGUAUAUAUCUCCUUUUUUCUGGCUUUACUUGUGUUUAUAAAACGAAUUAAGCAAAUCCGACCUCAUAAAACGAAUUAAGCAAGAAUUAUAAUGACUUAUCAUGAGGAUAUUAUCGUUCAUCUCAAGAAUUAAAAAUGACUUAUCAUGAUUAGGCAAACGUUUUUGGAUGGCGUCAUGCUGUUUAUUGAUUAUACGCAAAAUAUUAUGCUCACUCUCACUCAUGUAUCAAGAGCUUUCUCGGCUGGAGAAUGGAUUUCGCAUUUGGUUGGCAUUACUUAUCUAAUUUUUGUAAGACCUAUAGUUUCAUAACUCGUUCUCUUAAGUUAGUUCAAACUUUCAAUCUUUUUUUCCAAAGCUUAUUUUACUUGAAGGUUACAUAUAUAGUAAACGUUUUUGUAAUUAAAAUAUAUAUUUUCUAACCAAAAACGUUUCGUCCGGUCAACCAAAAGAUCUUAUUUAAAAGAAAUUCGUAGUACAUGUUAAUUACUAAAAUGGGAUAGGGAAAUCCAACACUAAGUGUUUUUAUUAUAAAGUUUACCCAGACGUUACAAAAUAGGUACCCUCAUAGUCUAUCUUAUCAAAAUUUAGAUAGACAAAACAUUUCAUACAUACAUGUAUGAUGUAUAUGUGUUUUUGUUUGUCAUCUUUGAUAACUUUCAUUACAUUAUUAUCAUCAUGCUACGUUAAUUCUUUACGUAAUUAUCCCUUUAUUUAGAAAUCAAAGCCAUAAUGCUCCAGCGCGCUUAAGCAUUGGAACAAGAGAACGAUUGAGAUGGAGACUCAUGACUUGAUUAGCUCCACCAACGAGCUGCCCUCCUAUGAACACCACUGGUACGGUAGGGCUACAGCCUAGCUGAGCCAAUGCUUGCUCUAUCUCCUUUCCUCUGUUGAUCUCAUCUAGCUCAUAGAUCGUUGGGUUCACGCCAAAGUCUAUGAAGAGAGUCUUGACAGUAUGGGACAUGCAACACGAGUUUUUGCUGAAGAUCACUACUGACUUCUCGGAGAUCAUCUUCUGUAGCUUAUCCAUUGGUGUUUUAACGUGAAAUUUGUUCGAAAAGCGACUCACCGAGGAUGAAAAUGUAGUAUCCUUUGAUUGAAAUUAGAGAAUAGGGUGUGAAAUUGGAAAGUUAGAGAACUAGUAAAAGCUUCAAGUCUUUGGGUGAAGAUGUAUAAGAGAUGACUUUGAGUUUGUUUUUGAUGUAGUACUGAAGGGUCUCUAAGGGUUCUUUAUAUAUAGCUAUCUAUGGAAGGUACGUGAAGCUAUCAUAUUGUCGGUUCGAUAUAGCAUUUUUCAGGGAAUCAACUUUAUAACACAAAUUAAAGAACUCAUUUCAAAUAAUGAAAUUAAGAUGCAUCAUGCAUGGUGGGAGUAUCCAAAAAAAUUUGAGGCUAUGAUCUUUGUUGGAUUUUGCGGCUCACACGUUCUUGAUUCUUUACCACUUGCAACUAAAGAAUUCAAACUAUCGACUAAUUCGGUAAAAAGUACAAAAUAAUAAAAUCUCUUAGAUGUGACGAAUAUUUGAUACGUACGACGGUACGAAUCAUAUCAUGUGUUCAGUGCCACUCAAAAAAGAUAUAUUUUCAACACAAAUUCAUAUUUGUUCACAUAAUACAUAUGUACACAUUAAUACAUAUAAAUAUAAUUAGUGUGAUUUGCAAAUUAUAUGUAUGUAUUUGUGCAGAACUAGAUAUACACAAACAAGAAAAUCUUAAAAUCUAGCUAGGCCAUUGACAUAUACACUUGACACUGCACAAGACAAAAGCUGAAUAAGCUUCCUUUUGCGAAGACUCGAGAUCGUGUGGUAUAUCUCCAGAAUAAUCUUCUUCGUCGUCUCUUUUUUUUGGUUUUGGUGAUUGUGUGUGGUUUACGUGGCCUCUUCACUUUCUUUAUUCUCAGCAAAAUUUUCAUCGUAAAUCAACUUGGGAAUAAAGUUAAAUUUGUGUCUGAUUCUUGAUACUGUAAAUAGAUACGAUCGAUCUCAUUCCACGAGGAUAAGAGUGAGUGAGUAACUCGAAGGAACGAAACUAUAUACAAAUUGGAAUCUGACCCAAUGGUGAACCGGAGAGUCGUUACCAAUUGUUAGGUGAUCCUAGCCCGUACAGUCUUACGUAAAAGUACAUAUUAUAUCGCGUUCAAUUCUACAAACUAUGUACAUUGAACACUUUUUAAAAAAUUGCUAGGUGGGAAAAUAAAUUUAAGGUUUGUUGGUCCAUCCGUAAUAACUGAUUUAUGUAUCUAACUUAGUUUAGUCCAUACUCUAUUCAUUCUUAUUUAAAAAAAAAUCAUUUUGAACCAACCCAAAUUCAUUCUACAGAAAUUGGUUUUUUUCCUCUCCAACUUAUAUAAAUGAUUUGAUUAAUUUCUCUGAGGAUAUAUGUAAAUAAGUGUCCGGAUAUUAAAUAUCAGACAAUAUUUGCCAUGGAUAUAUAAGUAUAACCUAAGCUGCAAUUAGUAUAGGGCACUUUGGGACAGAAAAUAACAUACUAAUUAUAGAAUUGACAUGGACUUUAAGUGGUCUCCAAGUUUUUACAAAGCCAGAAAACAAAAAAAAAUGAUAUGGAGAACUGGCUGUAGUAAUAACAUACUGAUGUCUUUUGUUCACUCUUUCGAAAGCUAAACCGCUGAGAUUGGUUGAUGAUUAAAAUGUUAUAAGAUGGAAAUAUGGAAUGCCAAUAUUUGUUUCGCUGGAAGAACAACAAAGGGUAUGAGUAGAAGGAUCCCAAGAAACCUAAUCUAGUCUCUUGGUUGAAUGAGUAAACAUUUACUGUGAGAGCUUGGGAUGUUAGAGACUACAAGGAUGAGAGCUCAGGGUGUUUAUGAUAGUGUGGAUUUGGCAAGAUGUAGCUAACCACACAUGUUUCCAAGCUGGUUAAAACUCUCAUCCUCUUAAUAGUUUUUAUUUUUCUACAUUGAAUGGUGUAUCGAACCAAAGGUCGGUGAAUCAGUCUAGGGUAAUUGAUUUUCCCCGAGCAGUUUACCUAAUGGAUUAACAAGGAUUCAUAGCAUAAGUAAACCAAAUUAUAAAGAGAAAACAUUAUAUAGAUCUUAAACCACAUUGGCUCUUUUGUAGUUAGUUCAAGUUAAUUUUGUUGUAACCACAAUGGGGUAAUUUGGGUUUUUAUUUACUGUAACUCGUCUUCAUGAAAGCUAUAAAUUAACAAGAGAGAAUCCAUCUUUGACUGCGGAACAAAAUUUUAUUUAUUAAAACAUAGAAAAUAGGUGUACAUGUGUACACGAUUCCUUACAAUAGAUUUUUUUUUUUUUUUUUUAAAACAGUAGAAUUUUCUCAUUAUGAACAAAACAUAAGAAGAAAUGGUUUUGAACAUGUUAUGCUUUAAAUUUCGAAAAUUUUCGUUUGUCAUAAUUGAUCAGUCUCAUUACAUUAUUAUUAUCAUUUAUAAAUCUACGUUCUACGUAAGUAUCCCCCUUAAUUUAAUCAAAGCCAUAAAGCCCCAACGCGUUUAAGCAUUGGAAGGAGAGAACGAUUGAGAUGGAGGCUCAUGACUUGAUUGGCUCCACCAACGAGUUGCCCUCCUAUGAACACCGCCGGUACAGUAGGACUGCAGCCAAGCUGAGCCAAUGCUUGUUCUAUCUCUUUUCCUCUGGUUAUCUCGUCUAGUUCAUAGAUUGUCGGGUUUACACCAAGGUCUAAGAAGAGAGUCUUGAUUGUGUGAGACAUGCAGCAAGAGUUUUUGCUAAAGAUCACAACUGACUUCUCGGAGAUCAUCUUCUGUAGCUUCUCCAUUGUUGUUUUAACGUGAAAGUGUGUUCAAAAAAGUGACUCGCUAAGGAUGAAAAUAGGUUAUGUUUUGAUUACAAGAUGCGAGAUUAGGGAUGAAAAAGGGAUAACUAGAGAACUGUUAAAGAGAUUGUGAUAUCUUUGGGUGAAAGUGAAAAGUGACUUUGAGUUUGUGUUUGCUCGGUUUGAUGUAGAGAAGUGUCUACAAGGGGACUAUAUAUAAUACGUAAAGUUAUGAUAUUAUGAGUUCGAUAUAGCACUUUUUAAAGAGAAUCAACUUUAUAGCUCAAAAUAAAUAAAACAUUUUAUAAUUAAAAAACAAAAUUGCGGCCAUGAUCGGUUCACGCCUUCUUGACUCUUUAAUUUUGCCUCUUGUAGCUAAAGAAUAAAACUAAUUCGGUAAUAAGGUACAGAAAACAAAAUCUCUUAGUUGUGAAGAAUAUAUGAUACGGACGACGAAUCAUGCAAUGUCAUGUCUCUAUGGUACGGCCAUAUAUAUUUUUCAUUGUCAAAAGAGAUAUCUCUUUAUUACUUUAAGGAAAAAUUAAAUUUAGUUUUAUAUAUACUGCAUAAUUAAUUGGUAUAUAGUUUUCAUAAGCUUACACAAAUUUACAAAAGAAUAAACAAUAAAAAGCUUCCAUUAUGUCGAGAAAAAUAAACCUAUACAUAUAUUUUUUUUUUUUUUUUUAAAAACCUAUACAUAUUUCAACAUUGCAAGUUAAUUAAUAAAGGUUUGUGAGCCAAACUAGAUCAUAGAUUCAAAACCAUAAAUAAAGUAUACCCUUUGACAUGAACAUUUUAAAAACAAACUCUACGUAUACUUCUUGAAGGAUCGAGAUCGUAAGGUAUAUUUCUAGAAUAAUCUUUUAUCCAUUUUGUGUUUGAGGAUUACGUGGCUCCUUGAGUUUCCAUCAAAACAUGUUUUUUCCAAAAACCUUUUGGUCAUGAAUCGAACUCGGAAUAAAGGAAAGUUUUUGCAUGAUUCUUGACAUCGCUAAAGUUCGAUUUCAUUCCAUGACGAUAAGGCUCACAUGGAACCACAUUUUUUUUCUCUUCCUGGAUCAAAAAAGAUGGCCCAACACUGUUCCGGAGAGUCGUCAUACGACGAAUGUGGUCAUCAUAUUCAUAACACGUACAUGCCAAACACCACCAUUAUUGAUGGUAUCUUAGCCAAAAUUUAGGCUAAGAUAUGUAAAGAAAAAGAUUUUAUAUAAGAUCAAUUUUUCACAUAUUUUAGUCUAAAAUUUGGCUAAAAUACUAUCAAUAAUGUUGCUCUUAUGUCUAAAACCACAUAUCCUAUCAUAAAUCCAUAUCCUCAUGCAAUCCUAUCACAUGCUUGAUAUGUUUUCACGGGGAUUUAAUUAAUUGUCAACGUGAAACAUUAUCUUCAACAGAAAUUAUGUUACUUUUGAUGAUAUUUUUGAACAUAAAGCUAAUUACUGAGAUAUUUUGAUAAGUUUUUCUAGAUUAUUUCUUACAAGAGACUCUAUUAUACUAAAAUAGAAUUUACACCUAAAAUUUUGAAUAUAUAGAAUAUACGUCUCUUAAGACACAAUGAAAUCAAUUACAGGUUUACAUAAAAGUAGAUCAUAUCAUAAGAAUAGAACAAGAUAAAAGUCACCCUUUCUUUUCUUUUUUUUUUUUUUUUUUUUUUUUUUUUUUUUUUUUUUGCUAAACUGUUAAUAUCAUUUAAGAAAUGAAAACGUUUGACUUUUACAAAAAAAAGCCUAUUGGCUUAAGCUCCUCGGCAAAAAAGGAAAACAAGGAGAUAAGUUACAGAGAUUCACAAAAAAAGUGAAGAUGUCACAACCAGAGUUGCAUAAAGUUUCUGAAACGCUUCAGAGGAUAUCUUGAUGAGAUUAUGUUUCUGAUCUCCUUAUCCAAACGCAAGAAAAUAGAGGCCGGUUGGAGCGCUUACUGAUUAUGGAUGAGAUUAUUUCGUUGCCUCCAAAUAUUGUAGAUGGUGGCUUGAGCUGCGAUUUUCCUCAAGAGGGAAGGAGCAGAAGGAGAUGAAAAUCUUACCCAGGAAAGGAGCUCUGACCAUGAGAGCAGCAAAGACUUAUUAGGAUCGAUUCUUGAAAAGACUAGUCUCCAAACAGCUUGGGAAAAGCUGCAGGCGAGGAGAAUAUGGUCUCUGGACUCGAUAUCAGAGGCGCAUAAACUACAAACCGGAGGCGCAUAAAAGUCACCCUUCGUAAAGUGCAAAGAAAAAUCAGAACAAUAAUACAUAAUUUUUUAUCAUCAUUUUUACUUAAUAUGUUUAGUUUUCUUGAUUGCCCAUUUGCCACUGAUCUAAAAUUUCUCUCAAAUCUUGUCAUUCACCAGAUUGGCUCUUAAUAAUAUUUUGCUUAGUGUAUUUUUCAAGCUUUUCCAUAUUUUUUAUUCAGUGGUUUCAACAAUUCCUGAUUUUGUAGUGGGUGAUCACCUCCUUGAUCUAUAUCAUGUUUCCGUCAAAGCUGUGGGAGUACAAAUAAAUGAAAAUUAUAAAGGGGUAUAUUAAUGAGUUUAGCAACUAAUGUAGUUAGGUUUACAUUUUGUUGGAAACGGUAAAUGAAAAUCCACUUUGAUCAAUGAGUCAUAAUUUGAGAUUACAUCAACACCUAUAAAAAACAUUAAACCAAAAAGAACACUUAAGUACGACAUACUCUUCUUGCAACUUUGACAACAUGAGUGAUGCGCGAAAAAAAAAAAAAAGAGUAGCUUUCUCUUUUGACAACGAAAACUUAAAAUAAAAGUCAAGAUGUUCUUCUUUUUUCAACAAUAUUUAUACAUAUAUAUAUAUUAUUGUAAACAUAAUAUGGAAAAAUAGAAAUACAACACUAGGUUAUUUAUUAAAGUAUACCCACAAGUUACAAAAUAGGUAUAUCCUCACAAUCUAUCUUUUCAUAAUUCAUAGAUAAUAGACAUAUCAUUCAUACCGACAUGUAUAUGUUAUUUUGUCAUCCUUAAUUAGUACAAAGCUAUGAUCUAUACGUAAGUAUUACUUUUUAUUCAAUCAAAGCCAUAUAGCCCCAACACGUUUAAGCAUUGGAAUGAGAGAACGAUUAAGAUGGAGACUCAUGACUUGAUUGGCUCCACCAACAAGCUGCCCUCCUAUGAACACCACUGGCACGGUUGGGCUGCAGCCAAGCUGAGCCAAUGCUUGCUCUAUUUCUUUUCCUCUGUUGAUCUCGUCUAGCUCAUAGAUCGUCGGGUUCACGCCAAGGUCUAAGAAGAGAGUCUUGAUUGUGUGCGACAUGCAGCAAGAGUUCUUGCUAAAGAUCACUACCGACUUCUCGGAGAUCAUCUUCUGUAGCUUAUCCAUUAGUGUUAUAAUGUGAAAAUGAGUUUGAAAAAGCGGCUUGCAAAGGAUAAAACUAGUUUGUUUUGAUCGAAAUGCGAAAAAAGAAAUAAAAGUGGAAAACUUUGGAUUAGUAAGAUAAAAGACUUUAAGUUUAUAUGUUUGAUGUAUAGAAUUGUCUAUAAGGCUCCUCUAUAUAUACAGCAUUCUAAGGUACGUAAAGUUAUCAUAUUAUGGGUUUGAUGUAGCACUUUUUUUUAAUAUAUAGAAUCAACUUUAUAGCAUGAAAUAAACAACACAUUUAAAUAAUGAAAGAAAGAAUACAUCCCAGAGAAUAUAUGAGAGCCUGAGGCUAUGAUCGGUUCACACUUUGACUCUUUGCCUCACUUGCGCAGGUAAAGAAUCAAACUAAUUCGGUAAAACGUACAGAAAACAAAAUCUCUUAGCUGUGAAGAAUAUUUGAUACGGACGAAUCAUGUCAUGUCUCUAUAGUACGGCCAUAUACAAUAGUUUCAUUGUCAAAAAGAAAAGAUAUAUAUAUCUCUAUUACAUUAAGUCAAUUUACUUAAUUUUUGCUGCAUACUGCAUAGUUUUCAUAUAUUGGUUUUUCAAAUUUAAAACUGCCGACCUUUGGAUCUUAAUAUAUCUAAGGCAUGCGAUGUUACAUAUAAUGUGUUACGAGUAGCAGAUUUUGACAUAUAUAUGUUAUGUGUUGAUGCUUCUUCAAUUUUAUUUUUUACUUUUUGAUCUUUUUAAUAUACAGCUAUAUAUGCAAGUUAUAGUUGCUAAACGAGUUACAUUGGACAUAGGUUCACAAACUUAGUUUAAACCCCACCCAUUGACAUAUAACUAAAGUAGAGCACCACUUCGUGAAGACUCGAGAUAGUAAGGUAUAUAUCGAGAAUAGUCUCUUAUCUUUGUCGUUUUGAGGAUUACGUGGCUUCUUCACAUACCAUCAAGCCAUAUUUUUUUAUAUUAUUCUCACACAUAUUUCAUCAUAAAUCGAUGUCGGAAUAAAGUAUGAUUCUUGACAUCGCUAAAAUUCGAUCUCAUUCCAUGACGAUAAGGCUCAAAGGAACCACAUUGUUGUAUUUUUUGUUUUUUUCGAUGUAUCUUGAUCAAAGGUGGCCCAACAUUGAUCCGGAGAGUCGUUAUCAAUAUAGAUGACAAAUUAUAAGGUCGUCAGACCAUCUCCAAAGGGAGAUGCCUAUGGAAAAGUUUAGAGUUUUAUGUAAUUAAUGUGAUUAAAAUUAAAUGAUAAUGAGUUAAUAUGUUUAGCAGCGCCCCUAAACUAAUGCCUUUUAGUAUCGCUCUCUAAAGCCACGUGUCUGUUUAUAAUUGAAUGGAAACUGUGAGAGAAGGGAAGAAAAAAAUAGGGAUCGAAACGUAUCUCUCUUUGUCGAAAAAAAACAUUUUCUUCUUCUUUUGUGAAGCCGGCGACAAAAAGGGUGAUUUGAUGUGUUGUUUGAUUUCGUCGGCGUUAUGGAGCUGAGAAGGGCGGAUUCAAGGUCGCCGUUAUCACCAUCUUUUGUCUGAAGCUAAACAUCGAUUGUGUUAGGUACUCAAAAUUAGGGUUUCGAGAUUGAAUGGUUUUGAGUUACUUGAAUCUAGGGUUUUCUCUCAAUUGCUUAAAGUAUAUCUCUUGAAAUCUUAAGACUUUGUGGUUCGGAUUUGUGAAACGGUGUAAAGUUAUAAUUUUUUUUUGUUUCACUUUGGUCGAUGGUGUUUGCUAUUAGCAUAUGAAUCGGGUUUGUUAUACGUGAAUGGGUUGGGAUUAGAACUUAAAGUUUUGUUGUGUUGUUGUAGCUAGGGAGAACUUAAGAGGAGCUAAGAAGGAAUUCAACAAAACUGAGGAUGAUCUCAAGUCUCUUUAAAGUGUUGGUCAGAUUAUUGGAGAAGUUGUUCGACCACUGGAUAAUGAAAGAUGUAAUAUUUUCUCCUUCCCUUUUAAAAUCCCUUUCUUGCUCAUUGGACCCUUUUGGUUGUACUACAGACGGUAUAUAUCCAAAAUGGGCAACUUUUAUCCAGUCGAUUCGUCUUCCUCAAGGUCUGAAACCAUCAUUAUUUGCUACAUAUCAAGAAGGCGUUCGAAAAGAUGUAGAACGUGCUUUUGGAGUCUUGCAAGCUCGAUUUGCCAUUGUGAAAAACCCAGCUCUUGUUUGGGAUAAGGUAAAAAUAGGAAAAAUUAUGAGAGCAUGUAUCAUACUUCACAAUAUGAUAGUAGAAAACGAACGCGAUGGAUACACUCAGUUUGAUGUAUCAAUAUUCCAGCAAGGAGAAGGAAGCAGAACUUCACAAGUGGAUAUGACGUAUUCUACUGACAUGCCUACAAAUAUAGGCAAUAUGAUCGGCAUUCGGAAUCAAGUUCGUGAUAAGAAAAUACAUGAACAAUUAAAAUCCGAUUUGGUUGAACACAUAUGGCACAAAUUUGGCAACUCUCAAAAUUUCAACUAAACAUUGUGUUAUUUCAAUAUCUUUAUUUUAUUUUGUAUGUUUUGUAUUUCAAGUAAUGUAAUAUAAUUUUGUUUUUAUAUAUUUUUAAAAUAUAAAUUAUAUUAAUAUUAAAUUAAAUAUUUUGCUUUUUAGAACUUCUUAUUGAGUUCACCAUUGGAGCAACAAAAAUUUUAGAGUUCCAUAACUGUUUAUUAAUCAUUAAAAAAUUUAAAAAAAUGUUUAACACCCCAAAUUAAACAUCUCCCUUUGGAGAUGCUCUCAUAUUCAUAUCCCGCCGUACAUGUCUAACCUAAUAGUACAUAUUAUCAUAUGAUUGCAUCUAAUUCCAUAUCCUCGUACCAUCCUAUCACUUUUUUUCUCGAGACAUCCUAUCACCUUUCAUACACUAUAUGCGUAAUAUUUGCAUGUCUAAGUAAAAAACAGAAUUAAUAGGUCAGUGUUAUGACUUAUGAGUGCACUAUAAACAAAUCUAAAAGCAAGAUAUAAAAAAGCAUUAGUCAAUUCAUUCAAAUAAAUUGGUGAUGAAGAGAAUUGCAACAUGUGAUCUUUUAUAUUUACUUUAGAUCUCUUCGAAUUUUAGAUGAUGACUCUCAUCGAUCUAUGAAUAACAUAAUCUUAUUUUAGGACCGGUAAAAAAUCUUACUCAGGCUUCGAAUAGAGAGAGCAAAUCGGGCAAAGCAGAUCAAGCGGUUCAAAAAUAUCAAGCAGAACAAAAACAUAUCAAGCAGAUCUAGCAUAUCAAAUGCAGAUAAAAAUUUAUUAAAUUUUUAUUUACUUAAACAUUAUAUUAAUUAUGAAUUUGAACUGCUUUUUAUCAGCCUUCCAUUCAAGAACUCAGACUAUCUUCACCAAGUCAACAAAUCCUUCUUCGAGACAAUAAUAUAUAUAUAUUUUUUUUGUUCACCAAUAAUAUAAGUUCUGAAAUUUUCUGUUAUUCACAUUCUAAAUUUUUGAUAUUUAUGCAUAAGCAAGAAAUAUCAUAUCCAGUAGGAGAAACAAUAUAUGUAUCUAAACUCGUAUGUAUAUUAUCAUAAUAUAUAACAUAUUAAUCUCAAUAGUACAUAGUAAAUUACCACACUAUAUUUUCAUACUGAGUUUACUUUUGAGAACUUUGUUUGUUCAUAAUGCAACCAGCUACAUAUGUAAAGACUUAUUCCAUUUAAAAGAUUCAAAUGCUUGAGUGAAACAAAUACAAAUCUUUCGAAUUUCAUAAUAGGUUAAACAGAAUAAAUAAAGAAAAAUAUAUAUUUCUUUUCUCUCUUUUUUUUUAAAGAAGCAAUAUAUAUGAUUUAAUGAUGCGUAGAGUAUAAAACGUGUUGUAUAUUCUCUUCUUUAAUUUAGCUUCUUCAUACCGACUCAACUUCUUUUGUUAGAUCGGCCGGAGUUUCCUACACAACCCAAUACGAUAGCAAGUUUUAAAAGGAGUUUCUUGUAAUGAGAUCAAACUAAUUGACUAGCAAUAUAGAAUGGACAAAUAACACACUCUAAUAAAUGUUAAUACUUAAAAUUUUCAUACCUCUACAACAUCUUCAGCUGCUGCGGUUCCAUCAUUUUCCGCGGCUGCGGUUUCACUAUUUUCCGCGGUUGCAAUUUCUUCAUUUUCUAUUUCGACGGUUUCAUCAUUUUCUGCAGUUACGGUUUCAUUUUCCGCAACUGUGGUUUCAUCAUUUUCCACAGCUAUAAUUUCCUCAUUCUCUAUUUCGACGGUUUCAUCAUUUUCCGCAGUCACGGUUUCAUUUUCCGCGACUGCGGUUUCAGUUUCCGUGGCUUCGAUUUCUUCAUUUUCCGUUGUUGAAAUAUCUCGAGCUUCUACUUCGGUUGUUACUGGAAUUUCAACGUCCGGUUUUGGCUCUUCGACCUCGGUAGAUGGAACUUGGGUAUCAACACCACCAUCAAUAUUAUCCUCUAUACUUUUCUCUUCUUCUACCACCGUUUCAAUAUCAUUAUCUUCUGUUAAAUCAAAAACCAAAAUGAACGUUACACCUUACAAGAAGAAGUGAUAUAACACGUAAAUUAAGUGUAUACUUUUGCAAUGUAAAAUUUGUAACAAAACGUUAAAAUUAACUUGACAAUUCCAACGUAUAAUUAUUUAUAAACAUGUAAAAUUUACCAUGCAUACCCUUUUGUAAUUCGUCCACAACCGGCGAAACGCUCUCAUUCACGUCGUUAACGUUCUCCUCCGUCGUAAUAUUCUCCGGCACUAUCGCAGCCACCGCCUCCACGGGGGACAAAGUGGUCGUUGUUUCCUUGUCCUCCGGUGUCUUGUCAUCAUUCGUCGUCAUCUCCACCGCCGUCUUCUCCUCAUAACCUCCUUCAUCCUGCUUCUCCUCCGGAUUCUUGGUAAUGUUUUCUACACCAGCCUCGCCAGAAACUACAUCGGAAAUAUCGUUAUUUUUCCGGCAACGGCAGCUUUCUUGUCUUUUAAUUGUCUCGCUCUCUUUACCCUUCACUGAUUGAUCAGCUUCCAAAGGCUUUCUGAUCUUUGUUGUGUUUCCCGUAACAACAUCGUGUUUUGAUUUUCCACAACCCAUUUGUUAUUGUUUCUUCUUAAUUAAAACACCAAUCACUUUUCUUGUCUUAAUUGAUUAUGUGAAGAGAGAAAAAUCAAAGGGCUGAUGGAGAAGAAUAUGAAUCUUUUGAUGGAGUUUUAUCGAAGGAGAUUGAAGAAAACGAUAAACUAAUUUUCCAGUUGUAUUUUUUUUUUGCGUUGUGAUUCACUUUGGUUAGGGGAAAAAAAAAUUCGUUUUAGUUAUUUGUUAGGUGUUCCAACUUAAGGCGAUACCAAUUUUUUCACAAAUUAAAAGAUCAUUUAGUUUCUUGUUUUUAUUAUUAGAAUAGAAAAGGUUAUGUUUAGUUAGAGAGAGACACGAGAGGUAACAUAAACUAAACAUAUUAAGGAAAAUUAGAAAUAUAAUUACUUUUUUAUAAAUAAAUAACUAUUUACAACCUUAAAUUUUUUACAAAAAUUAUUAGUUGUUACUACAAAAGUACAAAGAGAUAAUCUUAUUGAUUUGAAAGAAUAAGACGUAUAAUUUGUCUAAAUUAUAACUUUAAUAUGGGUAGAUCAACAAGAAAUUGUUGAAUCACUUUCAACUACUUAACGUUUGUGUUUUUUCAUUUGCUUAUUUGUCAUACCAAUCUCCAUUUAAAAGUAUAUAUAAAUAUUUAACAUUCCAACAAAAUAAUUAAAAUAUGUGAGAGCUGGGAAUGAGCUGAUUACAAAACAAAUCAAAGUAACAGGUGAAUUAAUAAAUUAUGAAUAAAAAUAGGGACUUAUAUUUGCAAAUACUGCAUUGUUGAUGGUCUAAAACAAUAAACCCUAAAUCUUUGAUCCCGGCGUCUUUCUUCUCUCAAUCUCGAGACUCGACUCGACUCAGUUUUGAAAAACCCAGCUUUGAUUCAGGACUCGUGGAACCACUAGCGAUGCAAUUCCUCCAGAACUCUCGUCGAAUCGCUAAGUUCUUAAAACCCAUUGUUAUCACCGAGACCAAUCCGAGAUUCUACUCCUCUGCUUCUCAAAUCCCAAGCUCCUUCCAAUGGCGGAAUCAAACGUCUACUUCAUCCUCUUUAUUAAAAGGUAUUUUCUUUUGGUUAAUUUCGUAAUGCCAAUUGCAAAAUUUACCAAACCCAGCUUUGGAAAUGGAGAAAUCUUUUUGUCCUGUACUAGAUUUACCAAACCUGUAUAAUGUUAUAAAGUGUGGCUAGUGAAGAUUAGUGUGUAAAAGUGAACACUUUUAGCCUAUGUAUGUGAUUUUGAGAUCAUGUAUAAGCUUAAGAUACUAAAGGGUAAAAAUUUCGUUGAAUGUAAGUGUGUAAAUGAAUUAGCUUUACUUUGUGAUGUGAAUCGAAGCAAACGUAUUGAUUUUUUUAUCGCAAGUUGUGAUCUUUAUGUAUGUAUGUGUGAGUUGCUAAGAUGAAAUUGAUGAUUAUGUGUUGCAGGGAUUGAUAGAUGUAGUCACUCGUCGUCUUUGAGCUUGUUGACUCCCAGGUCGAGCUUUUCCUCUGAAGCAGAAAAGCUUGCUGGAAAUCCUACAGGUUGCUUUUUAUAUGUUACUUUGUUUUUGAACUGGAAUUUGAGAUCAACAGAGGGUUUCUCAUUGCGGUUAUGAUGUUGCAGUAGUUGUUAAGGAAUUGCAUGAUAAGAUGCUUGAUUCUGUGAAUGUCAAGAGAUCAAUGCCUCCAAAUGCUUGGUUGUGGUCGUUGAUUGAGAGUUGUCAGAAUCAGGAUGAUGUUAAUCUUCUCUUUGACGUUCUUCAGAAUCUCAGGAGAUUUGUUAGUACUUCAAAUCUUCCUUUUUUACAUGCCUUGUUUGGUUCCAUUUGAGAUUUCUUAUCGUUAUUCGGGAUGUAUGGUUGGUCAGUGCUUGAAAUUUGCUGUUUCUGGUUUGCAGAGAUUAUCCAAUCUUCGUAUUCAUGACAACUUCAAUUGCAAUCUAUGCCAACAAGUUGCUAAGACUUGUGUACGUGUUGGAGCAAUUGACUCAGGUACUCUCAGUUUUGCUUUUACUUUACGUGUUAUUAGUUUUGUUAUAUAAUUUAAUCGAACAUGUUGUAUCAUUCGAGAGUACUAAUGCAGUUCUUUGUGGUUGCAGGAAAGAAGGCUUUGUGGAAGCAUAAUGUCCAUGGUUUGACACCCAGUGUUGCAUCAGCACACCAUCUAUUGGUAUGGCGUGUCAAUAAGUGUUUUGGUUGUUUCUUUGGUACACAUAGAUGUUUAAGACGUAUUCUGGAUUCCAUGUAGUCAUAUGCACUAGAACACAAGGAUUCUGAACUCAUGGAAGAAGUAAUGAAACUCCUGAAAACGAAUGACCUGCCUCUACAACCCGGCACAGCAGAUUUAGUUUUCAGGUGUGUAAAAAAUUGUUUUGUUUCUUCUUCUCUAUGAUAGCAUUGUGGAAAUUUGUAUGUGCCUGUUUCCAUUGCGUGUGCUUUCUUAUCAUGAAAUGAACUUUAACUGGAUUUUUACAGGAUCUGUCAUGAUACAGAUAAGUGGGAUCUACUGGCCAAGUACUCUAAAAAAUUCUCCAAAGCUGGAGUUAAGUUGAGGAAGACCACAUUCGAUGUAUGGAUGGAAUUUGCUGCCAAGAAAGGUACUUUUGGCUUUACUUGUAUACCUGCAUUGAUAUGAUUUAUUUAUUCUUGAGAUUAUGGCUUUGCAAACUCUAGAUGGAUUUAUCAAUCUUUGAUGUAUUUAUAUAUACAUGGACUUACGUUAUUGUUGGACCUUUGGUAGUGGAAAUAGAAUACAAAUCCAUAGAUUUUUUUAUUAUAUCACUCCUGAACCUGUAACCUGUAAUUAUGACUUCUUUCUUACCUCAACUAUUUCAUGAUUAGUGAUGAGAUAUAUUCUAUACUUCUGCUAGUAAUGCAAGAGACAGAUCUGGAAAUCUGAUAGAAACUCUAGUCCAUAAAGGUUUCUUUUUAUUUUUGGCUCUGAUGCCGGUUGCUGAUUGUGUAAAUAUUGUUAUCAGGGGAUACCGAGUCGCUAUGGAAAGUAGACAAACUGAGAUCAGAGACAUACAGUCAACACACUCUUUCUACUGCUUUCUCUUGCGCAAAGGUUUGCACAUAACCACAUCUCUUUCUCUGUCUUCAAGUUACUGAAUAAUCCUUACAAAUUUGCUCCUUUCGCAGGGUUUCCUACUAGAAAGUAAACCCGAAGAAGCUGCUGCUGUCGUCCAGGUUAUCUGCCAGGUAAGCCCAUAGCCUCACUUCUAAUAUAACCCUUUUUAGCUUUAGUUAGUACGUUUAGUUUAAAGAUGUGUGUGUGACUGACUAUGCAGACAUAUCCUGAUGAGAAAAAGUCAUCAGUCUCAACUGAAUUCAAGAAACUUGUAAAUGAGUGGCCUGUGGACGUUAUCAAGCGCCAAACCGAAGAAGAUAAGAAGGUUAAAACUUUUCUCUGCUGUUAAUUUGUUAUGUUUGAACCCUGAAACCUAAACUCCUCAUUUAAAAACCAUACAUAAUUCUCGGUUGUAAUGAUGAACAGGCUCUAGCUUCUUCACUGAAAGCUGGGAUUCCUUCCAUGGUCAAUGCGUUGGUCACCUCGGGUUUGAACGUGAGCGUGGAUUUAGAUGAGCUAUACAAGAACGAAGCUCUUCUCAGCUAAAAUGAUUGAAUCAACAUUUGCAGAAGCUCUUUGGGGCUGCCUCAACAGGUUUAAAGUUCAUCCUUUCGCACCUAACUGUUGAUGUGAUGUUUUCCUUUUCAAUGGUGGCUAAGUAGAGACGAGGGAAAGAAACACAUUGACCGUUUCAGUAUCUUGCAUUCUACGGCAACUCGCUUUCUCCUUUAAGAGAUGGACGCAUACGAGUUGUCCAUUACAUGGUGGGACUUUUGUUCUUGAGUUGAUUAGUAAAAGAACAUUUUCUGUAAUAACAAAAUAAUAUAUAGCUUUUUGAGUCUUAUCUUAUUAGAAGGAGACAAAAAGGUUCAUUGAUUACAACUACUUAUCCAGUUACGUAUUAAUUCGUCGUCGAAUAAAAAAUUGAAUUUUGUAAAUCAUGUGACAGUGAGUAAAUGAAAAUAGUUGUCAAAAUUGAAUAUAAAUCUUCUCACAAUAGGACCAUGAAGUUUUCAAACAUUGAAAUCAAAUAGACAAUUACAUAAUUGAUGAUGAUGACUUUACAUAACACAAACAAACAAGAAAGAAACAGAGCAAAUCAAGAAAAACCUUAUUUGUGUUUUCUGGUUUUAAAAAAGACUAAGGAAGUUUCAUAGCAUCAAGAACGACAAUACCCAUAAACACAACUGAAGCAAUAAGAGUUAUAGCAAUCGAAGCAGCAGCUUGGUUACAGAAUUUGCCAAAAACGCCACAAACUUUCUUCCACAUCACAUGAUCGUUCCCUUGUUUACCCAUUAGCCCGAUUGCUCCAGAGGCUCCUGUGCCGGAAAAGAGCAAAGCCACCAUCACUAGAUCUCCUAUCAAAACCGCCAUUAACAAGCCUUUGCUUCUUUUGCCUUUGCUGAUCAUUAGAAUCACUAUUGAGAUGGCUGUGUAACCGCAGGCUAUAGCGUUUACAGAAACGUUGUACCUACAACAUUUGAAAACGUAGAUUUCUUUAUUUCUAAGUUUUAUGCAUCUCUCUAGUGUAAAUAUAAUUUGCCAUAAGAGAGUAGAUUAUAAAAUAUGUAUAUAUCCUUAUACGAAAUUAAUCAAGAGCAUCCAUUUCUUGUCAUGCCAGCUAGAACUAAAUUGUAAAUUAAAUUUCAAACUAAAAUAAGAGCUGAGGAAGGUCAGAGAAAGAUUGGCUGUGGACCAAUUUCCCUGUUGUGUUACUGUUUAGUUGUUGGACAUUUAUGAUCGUAAGGCUUAAUUAAGUAUGAAUUUAUUAUAUACGAGUUGAUCUGUCAAUAAUAUUUUUAAAUACACAUAUAUAGACAUCUAUGUACAUGCAAAUAAUAAUAAAAAUCUCAAAUCCUAAAUCUAAGAUUCACACACAUAUACAAAAUUAUGUUUGUCUUUGUGUUUUUCUAUUAAAAAAAUUUGAACAUUCUACAUUUUUGUGUCUUUUAUAUCUUUCACGUACGUGUGGCCGCAACCGCAAAAUAAUGGUAGAGACAAGAAGAAUCUACAUGCUAAAUUGAGACACAAAUGUGUGUGAAAAGGAGGAAGAAGGAAAAGAGAGAGGCUUACACAAAAGCAGACAAGUAAGAUGCUUUGGCGGUUGUAGAGACAUCAAGAGGAGGCAAGGUUGGAAUAAGCUUUAUAGGAACAACCUUUGUCUGUUUCGCGACACCAAGUACUAUUGCAGCCGUCAUUGUUAGGACCAAAGCCAACACUCUCAUCGCUAACUCGACUCCUUUCCUCGACCCGGUCUCUCUCUUUCCGUUCUCCACCUCCAUCCCAUUCACCUUGUUCUUACCUUCUUGUUCCAUUAUAAGGGAUCAAAAAAAAAGUUUUAAAGGUCAAAAUAAGAAGAGAGAGAUAGAGAGAGAGAUAUAAACAAUUAUUGGGAUUUUAUUUCUAAGUUUUUCAUGCUAUAGAUGAGAGUAAAGAGACGUGUAUAUAUACUGGAUACGUACGCAUAAUGUGUGGAUGGUAGUAAUGAUGUGUACGUGGCUUUUCAGUUUGUGUGUUGUGUGGCGCGAGAGAUAUUCUCAGCUUACGAAUGAGAAAAGUAAAUGGAUAUGUGUGGGAAAACGAAUUGUGAAUACAUUUACGUACGUGGAAAAAAAAAGUGUGAAUACAUUUGCAUUGAAACUUGGAAAAAAGACAAAUUUUGUUAAGUAUUUGACUCGGCGUGUUCCUUGACCCUUGUAUAUGUCAUAUAAGGUUAAUAAUAUUAGUAAGCAAACAAAGAUAUUUCAAAGUGUGUAUCCAAAUAAAUAUGAGCUGAGGUAUCAGUAGUUUGGCAUAUAUAUGCGAAAUAUCACCCCAAAAAAUGUUUACGGUAAGAUUAUUCGCGUGUUUUGAAAAAAUUGGAGAUGAUAGAUUUUAAAUUCGGUGAAUGUUUUUCUUUUUAACUAUUUUGUGAAAAUGAUUGGUGAUAAAAAAAAAAAAAGACAGAAAAAAUCAUUAAUUAAGAGAUAAGAAGGAAAAAAACAAACAUUUCCCUUUGUGUUUUGUUUUUAUGUUUUGGACGUCACCACUAAAAAGGUUAGUAACAAAAUAAUUAAGAAUGAGUAUAUGACCUAAUUUGAUACAUCUAUUUAUCUACCCAUAAAAAAAAAAGAAAAAACGUGAAAGUUUGGAAUAUUUAGCAUGUCGAAAUCUUUUUUAAUUUUCUAGCAAAAUCAUAAAUGAUAUAUUAAAAUAAAAAACAAUUAUUGCAUACUCACUUUCGUCAAUUAUUACUUUUUAUGAUUUUGAUUUGUCUCUCUCUUUCUUUUGUGCGAUGCUAUCUCGGAGUCGUCGAAACUCGAUAUGAACCCAAAACAAAAAUGACAUAAAUAUACAAUUAUUGCUUCAUCAAUUUGUUUUCAUCCCUCCCCCAUCACUCUCCCUCAAAUCGGCACAUGAAUGUCACAAAAUGUUCAAUUCCAGAUAAUUGCAUGUUUGUAAUCCCAAAGCCUUGGUACGUGAAUACGUAUGUGAGUUGUUUAAACUUUUACCUAUAUGAGAUAUUCUCAAGUCUAAACAUGUAUGAUGUUAAGGUUCAUUGCUUACAAUUAUGUCCAUACUAGUGGUUAGAAUAUCUUAUCAUCUCGCUAUAUAGAAAAGAAAAAAAUAAAAUUUGAAAACGAUUUGAUUAAACAUUAAAAGUAAUAGACAAUUACUACAUGAUUGUUGAUAAUGAUUUUACAUCACACAAGACGACAAAAAACAUAAACCGAAACAACAAAACUAACUAAGGAAGCUUGAUAGCAUCAAGAACAACAAGAAGCAUAUAGAUAGCUGCAGCAAGAAGAGUGAUAAAAAGCGAAGGAGCAGCUCGGUGACAGAAUUUUCCAAACACUCCACAAACUUUUUUCCACAUGACAUGUUUGUUCCCUUGUAAACCCAUUAGCCCAAUUGCUCCGGCCGCUCCGGUGCCGGAGAAAAGCAAAGCUACCAUCAAUAGAUCUCCUAACAAAACCGCCAUUAACAAACCUUUGCUUCUUUUGCCUUUGCUGAUCAUCAAAAUCGCUAUCGAAAUCACUGUGUAACCGCAAGCUAUCGCGUUUACUGAAAUGUGGUACCUACAACAUUUGUAAUACUACAUUGCUCAUUUCUGAAUUUUAUGUAUAUUCUACUAAAAAAAUAUGUUAUCAGUUUAGCAAUUAAUCUACCAAAUCAAUGUUUCUAGUUUCUAAAUUUAUUUAGGUGAACAAGCUCUGGAUUUUUUGGUCAUGCCAGCUAGGUAGAACUGUUGGGACACUAAGUUUUAAAGAAAGAUUAAAGCUGGACAAAGGCCAGGUAAAAAUUGGUUAUAUGGACCAACAUCGUUGUUGUGUCACAGUUUUGGUAGUUGGACAUUUAUGAUUCACAAAAAAAAAAUUACUGUAGACUAGUCAAUUUUUCUAUGAUUUUGUAUUAUUACAUAUGAAUUUAGGUAUAGCAUUUACUUAUACUCUACGCACCCAUAAAUAUAAGAACUUAAGAAGCUCAUCAAUAAUGCAAAAUAUUAGUUCAGCAGUCCUACGCAUGCAACCAACCGUACGGGUCUAAUCAAAUUUUAUCAAUGUAUCAACCAUGAAGAGCUAAUGAGAGAACGUGCACUAAAUAACCAAACAUCAAAAAACAAGAGACUUACACAAAGGCAGACAAGUAAGUGGCUUUGGCGGUUGCAGUGAUAUCAACAGGAGGUAAAGUGGGAAUAAGCUUUAACGACACAACCUUUGUCUGUUUCGCGACACCGAGUACUGUUGCAGACACCAUUGUUAGGACCAAAGCCAAUACUCUCAUAGUUAACUCAACUCCUUUUCUCGAUCCAUUCUCCUUAUUUCCUUUCUCCAUCUCCAUCCCAUUCAUAUUGUGCUUGCCCUCUUGUUCCAUUUACGGAUCAAAAACGUAAAGAUAUGAUCUUAGAAUGAGAAGAAAAUGAGUGAGAACUAUAACAAAUAUAUUGAAUGAUAUUUUUUUAGAUUCUGAUGCUCUCGAUGUGAGAAGAGACGUGUAUAUAUAUAUUGAAUGCGUUUAGUUGCAUGAUAAAAAAAUAUAAUUAAACACUCACUUAAUGAUGACUACGUGGCUUUGAGUUAUCUGGCGUCACCGCUCGAGAGAAAUUUUUAACUUUAACGAAAGAAAAAACAAAAAUCUUAUGGAUAUAUAUGAGAAAGCAAUUAAAGUGAAAACAUUUUCAUUGAAAGGUGUGAAAAAAUUAGUAUUUGUUUUGACUCAGGGGUGUUUAUGUAGCUAAUAAAGGUAUCAAAUAGGGUAAUUAACACUAUGUCAAACUAAUGUUCAAAUUACAUCCGAAUAAAUUUAAAAUGGAUAUCCAUACUUUUGGAUAGGUAAAACACAAACACAAAAUAUAUUUCUUUCUGACACAAUACUUGAAUUUAUUUUACAUUAUUAUACUAUGUUUUACUACAUUAAUGUAGGAAACAUAAUUAGAUAUUAAUAUAUCAACAUUUACUUUGAUCAUAUGUUAAAUAAAAGUCAGCUUUAAAAUGAAUAUUUGUUCUAAAAGGAAGAAUGAUAGAUGCAGUAUAUAUAGGAAUCUAAAUAGAUAUUUCGGAUUUGCCCACAUCCAUCCUCAUUGUCUUUUUUUGAGUGAUUUGACUCAAAUUACAAAAUUGGUUCUAAAUUUGGCAAGUGUCUCUAUUUUUAGCUAAUUGUGUGAAAAUGAUCGGUGGGCGAUAAUAUUGUUGUCACUAGAUGAGUCAUAACGAAAUGAUGAGUACUGCUGAAAUAAGAAUUACUGUAAUUAUAUCCAUCAACCACAAAAAAAAAAUGGUUAAUAGCCAAAUCUUAUGUGAGUAUGUGACUCUAUUACUAAAACAAUACAUUAAUUUUUCUUAUUAUAUGUUGGUAGUUUGCGUGGGGGCAUCCAUUGAAGGUCAUAAAGUAAUAUGGCCGUUGGCAAGUGUGGACACUGACAGCUCUUUUUGGAAACACUCAAUUUAAUAAUAGAGACAUAAUUUACGGCUGUCUUUCAUACACCAUACGGUUUAUGUAUAAUAAUACCAACUCGAAUACGUAUCUAUUGCAAAACGGAGACACGUACGAACUUAUACGUAGUAAUAAUAUUUAAAUCACAUUAUGAAGAAACCUGAACUGGUAUUAUUACGUACUCAGGGCACAUAAGCAUCUCUAAAUUAGUAUAACAUUAACCAAUUAAUACUCAGGGCACAUAAAGCAUCUAUAGCACUCAGGGCACAUAAGCAUCUAUAGCACUUAACAAGACACACGCCUCUCUAACUCAGAACCGAAACAUGUUUUACCAUGCAAAAACGUACGUACGUACUACGUAGGUGUUCCAACCAAACAGGCUCUUGUUCGCUAGUUACAACGAAAUCGAAAGACUCGGGCUAUAUUCUGUAAAUCAAUCCGUCUAAUUAACCCUAUAGUAGAGAACUAGAGAUUUAUAUUGAACUGAUAAAUAAGGAAAGCUUGCGGUUAUCUUUCUUUCUUUCUUUUUUUCUACAAAAAUUAAAAAUGUUUUGCUUGUAUGUUGUUUGAAACUUAACUUACUAGCCUUAGUUUUAAUCUAAUUUUACGAAAAAAAUACAAACUUUACUUACUAGCGCUUGUUCCCACGGCAGCUAUGCACCAGCUUAUUGUUCUACGUUGAUCUCCACCACCACCAACUCAUUUUGCUUUAGUUUGAGUUUUUGUCUUUUUAUAAUUUUAAUUUAUCUAACUCUAGUUUUAAUCAAUUACGUCUUACCAGAUAUUCACUAAACAUUUGUUUUUAUACUUCAAAUCAACGAUAACUAAAACUUAGGUUUGGGACCAUUUCUUGAUAAUUAAACUGAGUAAUCAUAUUUUCCUCUUUUGUAAGAGAAUUUUCAGACGUUACUGAGUAAAUUAAAAAUAAUAAUAACAAUUCAAUUUACGAGAAAACGAAACGAAGAUCUAAAAGGAUACUAAUAUAUUAAUAAUGCGUCAUUUACAUUAUAAAAUAUGAAUUUAAUGUCCGUAUAGAUGCGACCACAUAUCAAUCCAUCGGUGGUAGAAUAAUAUUUAUCUUUUUAGAUCCACGAAAAGAUCGUCUGAAUCAAAAUUCGAAGUCAAAGAUCCAUGACCACUAGAUUGCGAUUUUGUCAAGUCCCGCCGGAGAACAAAUUUUUGGAUUUUAGUUAUUUGGUGUUAAACAAAAGUUCUCAUACAGUUCCCAAGGCCAUUGAUAGCGAAAAUAAAGCAACACUGAUAUGGUCAUUUUGGGAUUCGACGUUCACAUAAUCAGUUAUGUCUUACCAAAAAGAAAUGGUGUUCGACUACUGUAUAGUAAGUCCAUAAACAUCUAAAAAAUGUAGCAAAAAACACCCAAAAAUGUCUGUCAUCAUUACAUUUUUAUAUAACUCAUAUCUUUGUUAUGAAUUAUUGUUUCUUCUAUAUUCAUUGUUUGAGACAGACGUCGACGUAUAACGGUGUAUAUAGGCCGUAUAAAGUCUUGUAAUGGUCUUUGAGACAUGUAGUCAUGGGACAAUGAGCUCCUCAUCAUGUAUUCGUUUUCAUCACAACUUUAUUUGUAUUUUUAUGAGUUUUCAAAAUUACUGUUCCAAACUAAUGGGAUACUAAUAAGUAGCACUUAGGUUAGGUCGUUGGAGAACCCAUAUAAUACCUAAUAAUGUACACAUAUUAUUGCGAUUAUAAAUAUCUCAUAUUCCAAAUUUAACAAUAAUUAGAGGUUUCUUACACGCAAUCAUAAGCUAAAAUGUUAUCAUGAUCUUCUUAUUGGUAUGUAUGUCGUCAUGGACAUGUUCGCAUUUAUACUUAAAGAUUCGUACAUAAGUAGUUAAUUCGUACUGAAUUAGAUAAUCUUAUAAUUAUGGGUUCUCUUGAGGCUAUGCUAAUAAACAAAAUUAAAAUAAAAACAAUUGUGAUAUAAUACAGAUACCAGCUGCCAACGUUCAGUGGCCAACAGACUAUUUUUACUAUAGCCAAAUUAUCUAUGGCCAAAUUAUAAAUACUGUUUCCUCUGUUUUCAAUUAAUUUAAAUUUUAGAAUUUUCACAUAUAUCAAUAAAAUAUAUUAUAAUUAGAAAAUCGUCCACGCGAUGUGUGGGUUAUAUACUUAUGUAUGUAUUCAUAAGUUGCACUUACGUUCUCCUGCAAAUGAGAAAGUAUCGUAUGCAGAUUACAUUUAGUCAGAAUGAAAUUGUUGUAACAUAUAUAAAAUAGUCUUCUGUAUGUCUUUUCAUUAUGGUAAUUUACUGACCAGUAUAUGUCCUCAUCAGUACCACUGAUCAAAGUCGUUUAGACUACUAGUACUAGUCUGGUUUGGCGAAAGUACAAUAAUAUCAAGUAUGAAGCAAAUGAUUUAGGAAGAGUUUUUUUUUUGUUUUUUUAAGAGGUAAUAGUACAAUGGAGGCGUUGCGGCGAAGAAUGAAAUAUAUUGUGAGAAUGCUAAAAGUGUUAUGUCAGGACGAGAAGAUGGAGAAGCAUGUGUAGGGUGUACCAGGACAUGUUCAUGAUUCAUGAAGGUGAAAUGGCAGCAUGUUCUUAUGCCUGAAUAAUAAGACUAUUGUCCUAUCAAUUUAAAUCAGCAGUUUAAUUUCUUUCAUGAGCCUUUAAAGCAAGUGAGAAUAAAUUAUUCGAUAAAUUGGAAACCAAGAAGAAGGCAAAGAAGUGAAACAUACUGUGAAAUUGUCUCAUGUUUUGGGUUUAACUUUUUAAAUUAAAUUCCUAAAAUUAUGUUCUUGUUUUAAAGUUAUAUAUAUGAUAAGCAGUAUAAUUUAUUAAAGUAAGUUUAGCAACAACAAAAAUUUUAACAACUUUGAAAAUGUUAAUAGUUCAUACCUUUUUAAUAUAAUUUUUUGUAAGAAGAGUAUAUUUUGUGUUUGUGUGUAUAAGCAAUUCAAGAAUUUGUGUCAAGAUCUUUUUUCCUUAUAUACUUUUGUAAAGCAUAAGUAUAUAUUAAAGUAUCCAUGUAACUCUUUUUGUUAUCACAAAUCAACUACUUUGGUAUACAAUUAACUUCAACAUUUAUCCAUUUAAGAAAUACGUGGAAUUUUUACUUAAUAAGUGUAUUUAUUUUUCCUUGUUUUCUAAUACUCUCUCUUUCCUACAUAAAUACUUUUUUUCAUAAAAUUUAAGGCACUCAUAUAGUUAAACUAAAUUGGCAUACACAUAACUCAACAAUAUAAAAGGUACCUUGUGGAAAACAAAUCUAUAGUUAUUUAUAUGAAAAACCUUAAUAUGCCAAUAAACCUUAUAUCAUAAAAAAUCUUGAUAAUCAAGUUCCUUGUAGAGUUAUUAAUAUGUUUAUUUUUAUUGUUAAUAAUCAAGUUGUUAAUAUGUUUAUUUUUUGUAUAUAUAUAGAGUUUGAUAAUCAUGUUCCUUGUAUAGUUUGAUGAAGAAAGAUCUUUAGGAGCAAAGAUAGUCAAAGAAUUUUUGGUGAAAACAUGAUCAGUGACUUACCUGACGAUAUACUUGUGCAAAUAUUAUUGCUUGUCCCAACAAAAGAUGCAGUGGCUACUAUGAUAUUGUCGAAACGGUGGUUGUCUAUAUGGACGAUGAUUCCAACACUCGUUUAUAAAGACAGCAACGACAUCAACGAUGGUGAACAGAAAAGUGUUUGGCAGUUUCUUGAUAAGUCACUGAAACAACACAAGGCACCUGUAUUAGAAAGAAUUGUCGUACAACUCGGUCAACAAUGUCCUGUUGAUGAAGAUGUCGGAAAGUGGAUAGCGAAUGCGAUAGAUCGCAAAGUCCGCAUUCUAAGUUUCGAGCUCAAUUGGUCUGCAAAGCCAAUCAAGGUGCCUACGAGACUUUACACAUGCGACACUCUCGUUCGUUUGAAUCUUACCAACAAGAUUUUAGUGGAUGUUGCUUCUCCGGCUUGUCUCCCAUCCCUUACUUGGCUUUCUCUUAACUCUGUUGUUUAUGAAGACGAAGAUUCUCUUGUCGGACUUUUAUCAAGUUGUCCUAUUCUCAAGAUUUUAGUUGUGAGACGACAUAUAGAAGACAACGUGACAAAUUUCAAAGUGAAAGUAUCUUCUUUAGAGUCCCUAACGUAUGAUAAUUUAAAUGCGUAUGGUAGAGCAGAUAUUAAGGGGUCCUUGGUUAUUGAUUCACCUGCUCUAAAGAAAAUCUCCAUCUGGGAUUCUAUGAGAGAGUCUUGCUCGAUUGAAAACACACCUCUCCUUAGUAAAGCAUGUAUACUAGUUAUGUGUUACUCAGGUGACAAGUUUAUGCUCUCCUCGCUCAUAUCUUUGGAUAUAUUUAUGACCGUACCAACGGUACGUAGUGCUCUUUCUCUUAAUGUUGCUUUUGUUCCCAAGUAUCAUAUUUUCCAAAGCCUACUUAUGUAUUAGUUCUUAUAUUCAUUGCAGGUCAAGUUUUGUACAACAACUAAUUUCUCUCAGCUUGUAGAGUGUAGGAUACAACCAUAUGAUUGUGACUGGUUGGAACCACUUAUGGCUUUACUUCAAAAUUCUCCAAAACUAAAACUGCUACUUAUCGACCAGGUUCGUUUUCAAUCAAGCCCAUGCAAUUUUUUGGGUGAAAUUAAUAAAAACUCAAAGUAAAUUAAAUGGUUUAAUCAUUCUCUUGUAUGUAUCUUAACUAGAGCCUCAGUAUGAUUAAGGAUUGGCCACUUUCUUGGAACCGUCCGUGUUCUGUUCCAACAUGCAUGUUGAGUCAUCUCGAAAUCUUUGAAUGGAAAGAAUAUGGAGGAGGAGGGGAAGAGAAGGAACUCGUGAGAUACAUCCUGGGAAAUUCUAAGUAUUUAAAAAUAGUUUCAAUCUCUGUAAACUCAACUUGUAAUCUUGAAGACAAAGAGAAGAUGAUUGACGAGUUAAAAUCUAUGCCGAUGAUGUCACAAUCUUCUGAUCUUAUGUUCAAAACUAGAAUUCUGCAAGAUAACUAUGAUGUACAAAUCUUUGACUUUAUAUCCAUUGUAAUAUGAAAGUAAUCUAAAAUAAGAGAGAUUUAAGCAUUAAUGUAACUAAAUAAAUAAAUAAAAAAGCUAAAAACUUAAAUAUAAUGCUUUUUAAAUAGUGUUUACCUAAUUGUGCUUGUAUCGGUCAUUAAGACUCAUGAACUCAAAAGAAAAUUUUAUUUUAAGUAGUAGUUAUAGAAUACUUUUACUAGUAAAGAUAAUUUUUCUUAAAAUUUAAGUUCAUCGCCAAUAACUAAUAAAAGAUACCUUGACUAACUAAGAAUGUCUACCAAAAACUCCAUUAUGUGAUCGAUAAAAAAAAAGACUGGUCACUAUAAAACGAAUCAUCAAUCCAAAACAUAGAAAAACAUACAAAAAGAUUCACUAGAAACCUCGGGUUACAAAUAAACUAGUCACACAAUUAUACAAAACCUCGAACACUAACGGAAAACACACAAACGUCAACUUGGACAAACACCAAAAGAAACAAAGAAACGAGAUCAAUAUAAAUUGACUAAAACAUAAACAAAGAACACAAAGAGAAUGAAUCAACGGAUCCUCUUGUAGAGGGAGAUCACAGAGAUGAUGGAUAAGAGAAGGAGGAGGAUUGAAGCAACCAAUGAGACGCCUAGUGCACCUGCAACAUGACGGCAAAACUUAUCGUAGACAUGACAUAUUUUGACCCAUCUCACUUCUUUGUUUCCCUUCAGACCAAGGUAAGCUACUCCACCUCCCGCUCCGGUCGCUGAGGCCACUAUCCCCACCAUCACCUGUCCAACACAUAAUGUCAUUUUAUAUUUAAUAAUAGAACAAAACAUGUAGUUUAUUAAUUAGUUGAGAAUCAUACUAUAAACUGAUUUCUUUGUGUAUUAUAUAUAAUAAUAUUACAAAAAAAAAUAACCAAAAAUAGUCUUAUAGUAACAGUUUUAAGGUCAAAUAUUAAUUACCGCAUCCAUAAUGGCAAGGUUGAGCAAGAGUAUGGCAGAGCAAGAGGAAGGCUUCUUGAAAGCAGAUACUGUAGCAAGUGUUGAUAGAAUACUGUAAAAGCAAGCCACCGAGAGUGCCACCACAAAGUAUCUACACAUAAACCAAACCAAUUAUAAAAAAAUAAAAAGAUUCAGUUAUCAGAUAAGAUACUCCAUAAUUUAAAAGAAGAUAACAAUUAUAAAAUCUUAUAUAAGAUGAAUGCUUUAUCAUAUCAUUAUUGAACAUUAAUAUAUAAUUUUGUGUCAUUUUCGUUAAAUACUUUGCUUUCUUUAACUUGCUUUUGACUUUCCAAAAUCUUUUGCUUCGAAAUCUCAACCACUCCCACACGCAAAAGUAUAUAUAAACAAAAAUAAGCCAUUUAGUAUCGGCCAGUUGCAUGUAAAUCAUUUGUUAUAUGCUUAAUCUUUUAGCUAAAUAUACUACAUGUAUUUAUCCUUAAAUAUAAUGACCAAUCUCUAUUGGUUUCUCAAAAUUAAAUAUUUUUAAGUUUUAUAGAGAAAAAUUAUCCAUAUGCUCUAACCAAAGUUGUAAUGGUCCAUGGACCGAUCAUCGUAUUACACUAUCCGAAUUCGACAUGACUUAUUUCAAGUUUAAUUAAAGCAUGCAUGGUCUAGUACUACUUCAGAGCUGCCGUGCUAGAAUAAUAUUCCAAUGGUCCAUAUAUACCUAGUUUUAUAACGUAUUUACCUCAAAAGUAUAUUAAAACCAUAUAAUUCCGAAUGAAUAUACUGUGUACGUAAUUUGACUAUCAUAUAUACAAAUCACAUAUGAAUUCUGGCCCUUAGUCUCAUUUACUAUAAGAUAAUCAAUCAACUUCGACGAACAUAUAUAUAUACCGUAAAUUACUAGAUUUGUUAAUAAUGUUAUCAUUAGAAUGAACUUACAUAAGAGCUGGUGAGUUGGUGAACUUAGCAGUAGGAAUACGAAAGGGAGUUCCAGGGAUGAAUACAUUCUUGGUCUGUUUACUCAAAACCAUUACCACUAUCGACGACAAAGUAGCUGCAAACAGAACUAUUCUAAGCACAACUUGAAUCAUCCAACAAGUCUUUGACGUGGUGUCGCAUCCUGGCCCGGUCGACUUCUCGGUGUCCAACGUCGAUUUGGUUUCAUCAGAACCCAUAACUCAGUCUUGGAACGUUAGAAAAGGUGAUAUGAAUUCAACUUUGUGAUAUGGAGAGGUAGUGAAUCUUUUGGUACGUUGAGAGGGGAAGGUUUAUAUUGUGAGUUAGUGUGUGUUUGAAAAGAAGAAAGCCUAAUUGAGAUGUAAUUGUUGUAAUAAUUAAUGUUAAUUAUUAUUAUAGUAUAAAGUCGUGGGACUAAUAUGGUAGGUGUUUCGAACACGCUAGAAAAAUUUGAAAAUCGUAAUUAAGAGUCAAUAUGUUCAUAUAUAUCCGUUAAGAGUCUUAUCCUUAUUGGUCUUAUCGUAGUUGUUAAUGUGAAAUUAGUAUACUACGCUAAAACAUCGCGUGUAUGUGUGUGUGCAAGUGCAUGUUGCCGUGCGUAACCUUUAUACGUAAAAAAUUAUUAUGAUAGACCCGAGUUGACAUUUUUAAGAACGAAAGAUGCUUAUGAUUUAUAAAAAAGAAACAAAAAUUUGAAAAUACGAGGGUGAUUAUAACAUCUACUAUUUUGAAAGAGUUUUUAUAUGAACGAAAAAGCUUUAAUUGAACUCGAUAAACCAAUAACACUAUAUUAUAUUAUAGUAUAAUCAUAUUAUUUGAAUAUCGCAUAACAUUCAUUAGAUCUCUAAAUUCUUCAGUAAUGACUCAUGGCUUGUAAUAAUUAUUGUAAACACGAUUUUGAGAAAUACCAAAACCAAUUACAUAUGUUAAUAGAGUUUUGGGAAUCAAGAUCGAAUUAGAAGUCUUUGAGAGUUUUUUUCUUAGCUCGUUUUUUUUUUCUUUUUUCUUAGCUCUUUAAAAAUCUUGAUUACCAAUAAUUCUUUAAUUUGUAUAUUGAGGAUCCACAAGUUGAUAUGUUUAGGUUUUUUUUUUUUUUUUAAUCUUGCGUGUGGAUAUUAUAAUUUGAUAUUAUAACCUUAGUCUUAGGAGAUAUAUUAAGGUAAAUGAUAAAGUAGAAUUUUAGAGAUAUAUACGUCGGCUAGCUUUCUAAUAUAAAAUAGAUUCAUAACACCCAUAUAAUUAAGUCGAUAGUUUUGCAUUUUAAACCCAAUUAAACGAUAUAAAAGAAACUAAUUUGACCUAGCUCUUGCCAUGUAGUACGUUAGUCAUUUUAAUAACUGAAGAAACUUUAACUUAUAAACAAGAUUCAGUCAUAGUUUAUGGAUAUAAAUCCAUAGUUUAUUUUCUGGCGUAGAAAUGCAGAAAUUUAACGAAACUAGUAUAUAAUUAAAGAGGCAAUCUCGUUUUCUUCAAAUGUUAACUUUAUGUCCGUAUGAGGAUCAAUGGAUAAUGACAAAUAUUGACUUUUUUUUUUGUAAUCAUUCAUAUAUAUACAUGGGAAAAUAAUUCAUGUUCAACUCCGAAGAGUUUGAUAUUUGCUAAUUUCAUUACGAAAGUUAAAAAUGAACUUAGAAAAAAUUAAUCGGUUGAUGUUCUAAUACGAAAUAUUACUAGUCAACUAAUGAAUUAAAAAAAUUGGUCAAAAGUGUGUGAAUAAACGAAGAUCGUUGCCUUGAAAACUGAAUGUGUAUAUGAUAAGCAUUGAUCACGACAGCGAUUCUGAUUGAUUUGUCAUCUUGAACUAAUUUUUUUUUUUUUUGUCAAAAGUCUUUUGUCCUCCAAAAAAAAAUCUAUUGGAGAUGUCAAUAUGUAAAUUACUAGUGCGUAUUUAUAGUUUUAACAUCUUCAUCAGCGAGCAUACCCAUAAAUGAUACUAGUAAGUAGUAGUAAUUAAAGAUUAUAUAUGGUAACUAUAUAAAAUUGUUUUAUGUACAUGCAUGCAGUCUGAUGAACCUGAUGAGUAAGCAAAGCUUGAAUGGAGAAUGAGAGAGAAAUAUAUAAAUAUGAAGCCGAGAGAGGUGAUCCUAUUAAAGAAACACACUUGUUUCUGCAUGAGAUGUUCCUAUUAAUUAACCCAUGCAUGUUCCUUUCGUAAUCGCCACAUGGAAUGAUUAAGACUUACAUUAGUAAUUAAUGAGCAUUAGUGAUAAUAUAAAGCAUUAACGUUUCCUAAUCCUACGUUAAUUAAUGACAAAAUAAGUCUUAUGCAACUUAACUAUGUAUGAAAUCUACAGCAUCCUAUUUCAGUGUGGAAGAGAAACCAAACUGUACGUGCACUAAUCUAAAAACAGAGCUUAACCAUGACGACACGAUCGAGUAUCCCAUGAAAUACCAUUUUAAGAUAAGAAUCCAACACAAACUUAUUUAAGUCACACUAAUAAAGAGCAAUGUACGUACUAAAGAUAGAGAGUAGUAAGAGAUAGUUUUAAGGCAAUGAACUAAAGAUAGAGAGUAGUCAUUAAAAGAGGAGAUUCAUGCAUGAGAAGCAUUUAUUUUUCCUUUGCGGAUACACUCACUCACAGAGACAGUGUAAGGAUAUCUCCUGCUCCAACGUUGUAAUGUGCAAGAGACUUGUCGGUGUCCUCCAAAACCAUGGCUUUCCCACUAAUCAUCAACUUGUGUGUGUUUGCAGCUGGAACUUGGAUCUCCUCUGCUAUUUUCUCCUUCAAGCUAGCCACGCUUUCCGAUAACGACUGCACCGUGAUCUCAAUGACUUGACCACCACCAUCAGCGUUGGGAACAGAAACCGUGAUCGUAGACGAGCCCUGCAAAUAAAGAUGAUGUAACAUAUAAUAAUGGUAAUGGUUAGAUGUAGCUCUCAAGAGGGAAAGCAGAAGAAAGGACUCUGUAAUAUAAUUAAGGAUUAAUUGGGUUUUUAGUACAUUUUUGAAACAUAAUUGUAGAAGUAGUACAUUUACUAUUCAUUAUUAGCAAACUAAUACAUUUUUACUAUUGGACACUAUUUAGACACUAUUAAAAACCCCCUUAAAUCUAAUAACUAAAAAUAUACAUCAAAAUAUAUUUGUUUUCUAUAAAAUUUCAAUUAUAUAAAAAUCUGUAUUUUUUUUCUCUAUAAUUUGAUAUGCAUUUUUUUAAAAAUAGUUUCAUAUAUUUUUCAAACAAAUUUUGAUACGUCCAGCUAUCCUUAUGUACAGUUGUGUGUCGAUAUACGGAAAAUCAUCCGUACAGCGGUCUAUAUAUACGUAUAAUUGUAUGUGUACAGAUAUAUUCUAGUCUAUAUAUAUGUAUUUUUGUUUAUGUGUAAAUAUGUUUAUAUGUAGUUGUUUCUCUUUGUACAAAUAUUUGAUGUACAAUAAUAUGUUACUGUACAGUUGUCUGUCUGUACAUAUAUCUGAAAUAGUAAAAUUGUACUAUUUUGCUAAUUGUGAAUAGUAAAUGUACUAUCUUUAUAAUUAUGUUUCAAAAACGUACUAGUUUGCCAACACACCCUAUAAUUAAGAAGAGAAACAUCACCGGAUGUUGAGCAAGAAACUGGUCUUCUGGAACAAGGGCUGACCCGUUGACGUCAAGCUUCUGUCUCUUUGGAUUUGGUUCCUCAAGUAGUGGAGGGGACUGCUUUUGUGGCAGUGGUGGCAGAUCUUGAUGAUGAUUCUGGCCCUUGUUAGCAAAAUCUUUGGUGACAGAAGCAUGCCAGUCAAUCAAAGACUGCUCUCCUCCCUGACGCCAUCUGUAGUGGUCGAAAGAUUUCCAUUGAAGACAUUGGAGAAAAGCAUCAAUAAUGGCUUCCAGAUAAGCGGCAUUAUUUCCCAGCUCUUUAAUCAGAUUAGUUGGAGGUGUUAACACUUUGGAAUACGCAACAGUAAGCUCAGUAAACUUACUGAACCUCCCAUUACUUGGAUUCAUAAACCCAAGCUGAGGAACAGCUCUUGCAUGCAAACCCAACCAAAACUCACUCCCAUACCAACCCACAAACAUAGCUGUGAGCUUAAUAGUAUCAAACUCGCUGAGGGUCAUCCCUUGAGGGAUUUCCCACUGAAGAAAAUUAGACAGAGAAAUGUACUUAGGCAAAAUAAUAUCACGAUUUGCAGCAAGAGCAGCAUCAAACCCAUCAUCAGAAUCAUCAUCAACAACAUUAGCAUCAGUCUUUAGAGAACGGUACUCUCUAAGCUUCUGCUGGUAAAACGCAUGAAAAGGAUCUGACCUAUGCAGAAACUUGUAUCUUGGAUUUGUCAAAUUGCAUCUCCUCAACCUCUCCUCAACAGUGGAACUCUUUUUGGAAAUGAGAAUCGCUGUUCUCUCGAUCAGAGUUUUGGUACUACCUGGAGGUGGCUCAAUGACUUCGGCACUAACCCUCAUCGUAUCAGCAGUUCCGUUCCUGUAUUCCAUAAGCCUCUUCUGGUACAUUCCGUGAUUAGGAUCAGAGCUCUUCAAAAAGGUGUGACAUGGAAACGUUUCCAAGAGCUCCGCCUCAUACUCAACUCCGUGUUUGAAUAUGAACACAGCCGCUCGGUCGAUGAUACUUGCCAAAUCUUGAUCUUUCUGCGACAUUUUUGUUUUUUCUACAACCACAAAGCAAUACAACGAUCAGAUCCUUGGAAAAAUUUCGAGUUUUGUUUUACCAGAAUUCUUGGUUUCAGUUCAGAUACUAUCUAUCUCUAUCAGAUCGAAUCUACCGAUUACGUUGAUUAAUGCUAAGGACGACUAGUUAGGGUUUUUAGGAGAGAGAUAUGAGAAACACACCGUACCUCAGCUGCGAGAGAACCGCUGUGACGUCGAGAGAAAAAUGCGGAGAAGCUAACGACUUGGAGUAGAGAAAUCGAGAAAUGAUGAAGACGAAGUGAUGAACCCGUCAAUACGACGAACAAAAGUUCCUAAAUGUGUUCGUUUUCUAAUGGGCCUUUCGUUUGGGCUUUUAUUAUUCGGUCCAUAAAAAACUACUUAGACCGACCUAUUGUAUUGGUGGUGGUAUAGUCUAAUUUUUAAUACUUCAAUUGAUAAUGAGUUUUGUUUCGUUUAUGAUUAAAUUAACCUUGAAAUACUAGGUAAUCAUGUAAAAUAGUACUUAGAGAGCCACAUAUGUUGAUAGCAAAACCAAGUUUCAUAAUGACAAGUUUAAGUAACAUUGUAGUUUCAAAACCAACCCGAGUGAGAGACUCUCUCUGUAAAAGAAGACAUUAGAAUCAACCUUUUGAACCAGAAGAUUUCACGAUACCAUCAUCUUAGAACGCCAAUGAAGUAGGGCCUUGUUUGCAUCUUGCACCUCUUCGACUUGACGUGCCCUUGGAAUUCCAGUGAUCAGGUUGGCAACCAACACACUAAGACCGAUACUAAUCUGGUAGGCUCGAUAUACACUUUGAUCCCACUCAUUUGCCGCCAGCCAGGGAUCAGGGAUAUUGGUUAUGAAAGCCUCCGUGUACGCCUCGAGAAGGAUAUGCUCUUGUGCAAGAACAGACUCUACUAUGGGGUUGAAGACAGCAUGGAGACGAUACCAACGGUUGAAUUCAACAACUUCCCCCAUCUGCAAACAAUUCAUAACCAGUUUAAGAAUUAGAUGCGGAUGCAUAAACAGUUUAGGUUGAUAUAAUCAGGUCGUUCAUGAUCAGUGUAAUGAAGAGGCAGGUUCAUAUGCAAAAGGUCACAAACUUUUUCCAAAAGACAAAUUAAAAAGCCACAAGUAACAUAUUACAUACCUGUUCAAAAAAAAUAAACGAGGUGGUUGUUGAAACGCUGAUUUGACUCUGGGGAAUAUUCUUCAUGCUCAGUUUGGAGGAAGUCCAACCAAAACUGUGUCUAAAAAUAAGAAGUAGAAAUGUAUGUUAUAAAGAAAUUGGAUUCUUCAAGUUAUACAAUAAAAAUCAAAUAGGAAUUGUAAGCAGAACAAGUUACCAAAUCCAUAUAACCCCCGUGAACUUUAUAUCAACCAAGACGCUGCUGUAAAGAAGCGGUUUGAAGGAAAGGUCGGGAAGAAGACCAUUUCUCAUACUCAUGACACAAUGCCGGGUAAUGAGAAGGUCUGCAGCACUGCACUUGAGAAACAAAAUAACAGACAUUGAGUAAGCUCAUACCACACCUCAACUCACCACACCACAGAAGAAGAAGUAAGUAAAAAUGUUGCCAAUACUAUUUACAUAUCUAUACCUUUCCACAGCUUAGAAAGUCGCAGUUUCCACAUUUUAUCUCGAACAAAAAGUCAUCUUCUCCAACAGAGUUAUUGAAAGAACAUUCUUUGCACUGAUAGAUCAUCCAAAAAAAAAAAAAACAAGAAGCUGAAGGCAUGUACUCAAACGAAAUUGGAAAUACGAAGAUUCUCAAUCAGAGAAGACCAUCUCUCUAACUAAGCAAAUGCUAAGAGCAAUUUUGACAAAUCUUGCUCAAAACAGUUGUAAAACAAAUGAAAAUUCCCAAAUCAGGAUUCCAGAGAGAUCAAACUUUAAAGCAGAGAAGAACAACUCUUAACUAAUCUAUAAGAGCAACCUCUAGAACAAUUUAACACAUCUCCUUCUUUACGGAAACAGUUGCGGAGACCUAAAACGCAAAAUCGGAAACAGAGAAGACCACCCAACUCUAACUAUAAGCAACGUUAAGAACAACUUAACACAUCUCCUUCCUUACGGAGACGAUCGGUGUUAACAACAGUUCAAACUAGUAAAUCUGGAAACCUAACAAUCAAAAUCGGAAACAGAGAGAGACCACCCAACUCUAACUAUAAGCAACGUUAAGAACAAUUUAACAGAGCUCCUUCCUUACGGAGACGAUCGGAGUUAAAGAACAGUUCGAACAAGCAAAUCUGGAAACCUUGGGGGAAAUGAAUAUCUAGCCAGAGAAGGAACAGAUCUAUCUACUACCAAAUCAGCAAGAUUAACAAAAUUAGAGCAAUCGGGAAACCUUAUCACCGGAGAUACUCGGGGAGAAGCUUCGCAGCGACGAGAGCUUUGACGGAAACUUAACAACCACAGAAUCGCUUGUGUUAAUGAUGAUGAUGAUGAUGAUGAUGAUGAACUAUAUAUUUAUAUACUCAAUGGGCUUAAUCAAUAAGCACUGAACACAUCAUCAUUUCACUCAAUGGGCUUGUGAUGCAAUUUUAAGGACUCGCUGUUAAAAGUAGUAGUAACUUGGAACACAUUUACAAGAAUCGCCAUCAGGUAAAAGUAAACUAAUUCAAGAACGAUAAAAGAGAUAUGUAAACUGAAGAAUGAAGAUUCUUGAUAUAAGGAAUAUGAAAACCAGAAGAAGAGUUUUGUCCAAAAAAAAAAAACCAAACGACCAGAAGAAGAGUUUUUGGUGAUGAUGAAUAGUGACAGAGGAAGAGAGGAAGAAGAUGUAGAUUGUGCAGAUGCAUUUUAUUUUAUACAUAGAAAUUAGAAUAUGUCAACAUCUCUAAUAAAAAACUCUAAAUAUUCUCUUUAUUUAAUGUAACGUCCGUAUUUAUUAUUUAACUUUUUUUUUUGCUAAUUUUUUUAUUAUUUAACUUUGGUAAUUAUGAAGCUUUAUUUAUGUUUAUGAAUGUUAAUUUUUAGCAUUUUAAGGUUACACUGUCGUAAUUUUGUGUUUAUUUC